GCCAGCACCCAUAUCACCCUGCAACUCACAACUGGCAGCCCACUGAAGCUAAGUAGGUGUGAGCCUGGUUAGUACCUGGAUGGGGGAGACCUCCUGGGAAAAAUCUAAGGUUGCUGCUGGAA
rnacentral:rRNA from 1 species